rnacentral:lncRNA from 1 species
UAUUAUUGAAUUUUCAUAAAUAAAAAUUUGGGUAAACUUCAAAUACCCCCGUUGUUUCACACUACCUCACUUUAGUACCUGUGGUUUAAAGUGUAUCAAGUUAGCCCCUGUGGUUUCGCACUUCCUCACUUUAGUACCCUAUGGUUUAAAGUGUAUUAAGUUAGUACUACGUGGUUUCGCACUUUCUUACUUUAGUACCUUGUGGUUUAAAGUGCAUCAAUUUAGUACUCUGUGGUUUUAUUUUUUCUUUUCGUCGGUUCCUCUAUUAAUAUUUCGUUAAAUUAUAUACAAAAAACUUCAUAUACCUUCUCUAGAUUUAUCGAAUAUUUACUUUAGUAUCCUUUAGUUUUAACUUUAUCGCUGAAAUUUUUUUUCCUCCGUUAAUAUUUCGUUAAAUUAGAUACAAAAAAUUUCAAAUAUCCUAUCUAGGUUUAUCGAAUAUUCACUUUAGUACCCUUUAGUUUUAACUUUGUUACUGAUUUAAAGAAAAAAAAUUAGUAAAAUGGAUAAUAAAAAGAGAAAAAUGAAAGCACAUGAUACUCACUUGAUAUAGUUUAAACCACAGGGUAUUAAAGUAAGAAAGUACGAAACCACAGGGAUUAAUUUGAUACAUUUUAAACUAUAGAAUACUCAAAUGAAAAAAUAUAAAACAACAGGAGAAGUAUUUGAAGUUUACCAAAAUUUUAUGCGGUGGGAUGUGCCGGCAGGAAGGUUGCAGUGCAACUCUGUCAUACUCCUAAAGGAUUACUCUUAUACUUUAUUUUGACCAAUAGGCCAAAUCGGUUGCCCAAAAUUUAAUAGACUUUAUUUAGAAGCUUGUGCAUUAAUUACUACAUGUGAGUUUAGCUGUACAUGAAAAACUCAUGGCAUAUAUUAGUAACUUAUAUACUUCAUCGUCCACAAGCUAUUUGUUUAGGUAAUAAUAAGAGUGGUGUCAUUCACUAAACACACAUAUCUGCACACGGCACGAGCCAAGUCGCAUGCAAUUUUGGCUAUCUAGUUUUUUUUUCCUACAUUUAAAUCUUCUUCUUUUUUUCAGAUCUCAUCUGAAUUUUUUAUGUCUAUAGUAUUUUGUCAUUGAUUCUUGCAUGUGAUUUUCAAAAUAGUUAUUUAAAUGUCUUCAAAUCAAAAUAUUUAAAAAGAUUUAUAUCUACUAAAAAAAAGUAGAGAGAUUUCCAAAAGAGGUCUAUAUGAAUCAUAAGCACUUCAUAAUGCCUGUUUUUUUUUUAUGCUAAUAAGAAAGUCUCUAGGCAGAUUUAACUUUUAUUUAUGUAAACUAAUUAUGAUUUUCUUGUCCCAGAUCCCUACUCCACUACGCGUCGUUAUCGGAUUACUUCCGGGGAAUAAGGAAGAUGCAAUACAAGAAAUGAAAACCACACUGCAGCAGUUGGAAAGUGCUUUUACGAAAUGCAGCAAAGGAAAAGCCUUCUUUGGCGGAGAUACGAUAGGAUAUUUGGACAUGGCCUUAGGAUGCUUCUUGAGCUGGUUCAAAGCAGUAGAGAUGAUGAACACUGGUGUAAACAUCCUCGACGAGGCGAAGACGCCUCUCUUGGCCGAAUGGGCGAACCGCUUCUACUCCGAUGAUGCGGUAAAGGAGGUGAUGCCCGAACCCGACGUGCUUGUCGAGCAUGUCAAAAAGAAUGUUGUUCAAGCCAAGGAGAAUUAAUGCUGGUACUUCUUAUUGAAGCAAUAUAUAUAUGAUGUUGCAGCAAAGAUUAUAUAAUAAUGGUUGGUGAUUGCCAUAGGAAUUUAGAUAAGGAAUAAAUUUGGGGAAUAAGUAAAAUGGAUAGGGAAAUGCUUGGCUUUUGUAACAUGAUGAAUUAAGCUACUUGGAUUAGAAUUUAUACUUAGUAGUUUGUGUAUUAAUUGUUCCCUUACUCUGUGUGUGCUUUGCUAAAACAGGUUCACAAAUGGUAAUAGAACAUUAAGGCCUUCCUUGAAAGAACAAUGAUACCAACAGCUACAAAUAGAAGUCCUAAACUAGACAAAUAUAGAAAAUAAAAUAAGUCAUGCAAGAACCCCUAACAUUUACUUCUAAAUAUUAAAUACAUUUUUUUAAUUUAUUCGAAUAAUUUGUGCAUUUGAUUGAUACGGAGUGUGAUUCAAUGUUUAUAAUGAAAUAUUUUAUUCAAAUUUCAAAUUAUUUUUUAAAAAUAUUAUCUUAUAGGUAAAAUAUAUUAUUCUAUUAAAUUAUGAAUAAUAAAAUUUUUGUAAAAAUCAAAUUUCGUAUUUACAAUUAUAUUGAAAAAUUUUCAUACAGAAUAAGUUAUUUUUAGAUAAUUUUUUCUGACAUCCAAAUAGAAUCUUCAUUGAGUAUUUUUUAAAUAAAUUUAAAGCCGCAAGAUAUUGAUCCAAUGCCAAAUGCGUCCAUGCAUGCGUCACAAAUCCCUUCACAUCCAUGAACAUCAAUAAAUUUGUAUUAUAUACACAAGUCACAUAAACAAAAAACUAAGUAAAUAAAUAAAUAAAUAAAACCCAUUAAUUCUAUUCCUCAAGCAGGGAAUUGAUUUUAGUCCUUGACCAACCUGAAAACACAAUUGAAGGCAACAUUCAAACCUCCUAAUUAUUCCGGGAGGUACCUAUUAUUUAGUUACAAUGUCACCUUCAUUAAUAAUAAUAAUAAUAAUAAUAAUAAUAAUAAGCAUUAAAGGGGCAAAAUGUAAUAAUCUUUAAUGAUUUAAAAUCAGGUCCAACUGGUUGAUUCAACCGGUCGAUCGUGACUCAAUCUACAAAGCAGCAUGAUUUAAUCCUUUGAACUGAGCAAGUCUAAAUAUCAUUUUGAAUGGCUCGAACCUACAGUAACCAUUGUAUAAGUGAACCAUUCCGAUUUUAAUCAAACCGUCCGAAUUUUUUUAGUCGAGUAAGUCAAAAAAUCUCUUUGAACUGUUCGAACCUGCAGUUCACCCAUCGUACAAGUGGGCUAAUUCGAUUUUAAUCAAACUGUCUGUUAUCUUUUUAAAAAUCAAAUUGUCUGGAUCGUGUCUCAGUCUACAAAGCGGCUCGAUUCAAUCCUUUGAUCUGAAUUAGUCCAAAAAAUGCUUUGAACUGUUCGAACCUGCGGCUCAACCAUCGUAUAAGUGAACCAAUCUGAUUUUAAUCAAACUGUCCAAAUUUUCUUUUAAUUAAAUAAUACUAAAAUCCAAGUGUUUAAAGUCACUUAAGCAGAUUUUACUAUUAACACAAAUUAGUCUUAUAAAAAGUGAAAUUUAAAAAUUUAUAUCUACUUAAUUUGGUCAAGGAAUUAAUACUUUCUCAUUACGGUGGUUGACCCAUUGGUUGAAUUGUUGAUUCUUGACCUAGUAAUAUUUUCGGAUUGCUAUUCAACUCGGUUUUUUUGAUAUUUUUCGAUAUUAGUGGUCUGAUCCAAUAUUAUUAUAUCAAAUCCAAGUGCAAAUAUUCUUCCUUUUUAAAAAAAAAUAAAAAAUCAUAUAGUUUGUCCCAUUUUAAGUGGACAAAUAUGUUACAAGAAGGUCAAAUCCUAACAAAUAACUUAGGCAGAAAUGCUUGCAGCUCCCAAUAAUUAUCGGACCUGUUUGGUCUAAUUUUUGAAAAAAUGAUUAUUGUAAAAGUGAUUUUGAUUUGGAGAAUUGAUUUUGGUGAAAAGCCGUAGAGCGUUUGGCUGAGUUUAGGUAAAAGUGAUUUUUCAUAAGCGGUUUUCUAAAGCUGUUUGGCAAAAAAAUUUUGAUGCAUGUAUAUAUUAAUAUUUUUACUAAAUUUUAUUUUAAAAUAAUUUAAAUUUUGAAUUUAAAUUUAAAAUUUAAAUUUGGAUUAAAAGUAUAAUUUUUAAAUUUCAAAUUUGUACAAAAAAUAAAUUUGAAAUUUCAAAAAUUUUAAUUUAAAAUUUGAAUUUUUUAAUCUAAAUUUAAAAUUUCAAUUUUCCAAUCUGAAUUUAAAUUUUGAAUUUUAAAUUUAAAAUCUAAUUUUAAAUUUUAAAUUUUAAAUUUUAAAUUUUAAAUUUUAAAUUUUAAAUUUUAAAAGUUGAGAUUUAAAAAUUCAAAUAUGAAUUUAAAAUUUCAAAUUUUAAAUUUAAUGUUAAAUUUAUACUUUGAAUCUAAAAUGAAAAAAAAUUUGAAGUUUGAGUCCAAAAUCAGAAUCAGUUUGGAAGAAGCAGUUUUUUCACUUCUGAUUCUGGAAUCUUCAAAAUCAGUUUUUGAUUCUGAAAGUAGAAUUAGAUUUUUCAUCUAUCAUUCUCAAACACUCUACUGAGCUUAGAAGUCUUUUGGGCUUAGAAUCACUGACCGAAAGGCCAACAACCCAUAGUCACUUGCUUUUAUUUAAUACUAAUAUAGGAACCCCCGAUGCUGCGGAUAAAAAUUAUAAUAAAUUAUAAUUAAAUAUACAAAUAAAAAUAUAAAAAUAUAAAAAAAUAAUCAAUUUUGAUUGGUUAAUAAUAUAAAAUAUAUUGAAAUUUUUUAUAAUGAAAAUAUAAUUCAAUGGAGAACAAAGAAAGAAAACAAAAAAAAAACUAUAAAAGAUAAAAAUUAUUGCAUAGAUAGGAAUUAAAAAAAAAACAUAAUUUAAUGCAAGAAUAAAAGGGAAGGAAAAAAUAAAAACCAAAGGUGAUUAACGUUGGGGUUGGUUUAUUACUGUGAUAAAUUAUAAGGGCUCUGGUUUCUUCUUUUCUACAUAAAAAUUAAAUUUAAAAAAAAUAAUUAGCAAUUAAAAUAAAAUAAAAUUAGAGAGAAAAAAUAUUUUUUGAGAAAGGAAAAAAAUAUUUUUAAUUCAUAAAAAUAUAAAAUAUCACUUGAAGCGAAUUUGAUUGUAGCACUUAAAUUUAUUAUCACCUACUUUUCGUAAUAUAAAUCAAAUUAAAAUUAAAAAUUAGUAUUUAAAAAUUAUUAUUAAUAAUAAUUUGAAUUUUCAAAGAAUGGGGAGAAAAGAGAACGGAUGUGGAUGGGGGGGGGGGGGGGGGGGGGAAUGGGAGUUUUCUUGAAGGAGCGAGUUCAAGAUGAAGGAACAUACGGUGGAUAAAAGGAGAUGAAGGAAAAUACGGUGAGAUAGGAAGAGAUCAGAGAUAUAUGCGGAGGAAAGAAGAGAGAAAGAUCCACUUAUAAAAAAAAAAAAAAAAUUAGAAGUGCCAAAAAAAAAAAAAGACAUUUGCCACAUCAGCUAUUGAUAUUGAAAAAUUAUAUAGAGAUAUAGAUAUAUAAAUAGGUUUUAAUAUUUUGUGUUAACAGUAACACCAUCAUAUUCUUUUUUAACACCAUCCUAUUCAUAUUAGAACAAGAAAAUAAGUUUUUUCAUAAGAGGUUAUUCUAUAUAUGGGAAUAACAUCAUAAAUAAAAAUAUACAAAAAUAAAAUUUUUUGUUAAAUAUUAUUUUAAUAUAAAUUACUAAAUUUCUCUAAUUUAAUAUAUACUAUUAAAUUAAUUUAAAAUAUAAAUAUAGAAUUUUAAAUAAUUAUAUUUAUUCAACCUAUGCAUUUUUCACUUUAGUACCCUAUGGUUUAAAGUGUAUCAUUUAGUAUCCUAUGAUUUCGCACUUUCGCACUUAAGUACUCUGUGGUUUAAAAUGCAUCAAUUUAGUACAUUGUGGUUUCAUUUUUUUUCUUUUUGUCGGCUUUUUUGUUAAUAUUUCGUUAAAUUAUAUAAAAAAAACUUCAGAUAUCCUACCUAAAUUUAUUAAAUGUUUACUUUAGUACCCUUUAAUUUAAACUUCGUCACUGAUUUUUUUUUCCUCCGUUAAUAUUUUAUUAAAUUAUAUACAAAAACUUCAAAUACCUACCUAGAUUUAUCGAAUAUUCAUUUUAGUACCCUUUAAUUUUAACCUUGUCACUGAUUUAAUGAAAAAAAUUAGUGAAAUAAAUAAUAAAAAAAAAAUAAAACCACAUAGUCCUAACUUGAUAUAUUUUAAACUACAGAAUACUAAAGUAAGAAAGUGUGAAACCAUAAAGACUAACUUGAUACACUUUAAAUUAAAGAAUAUUAAAAUAAAAAAGUACGAAACAACGUGUGAGGUAUUUAAAAGUUUAUCCUAUAAUUUAUACAAAAAAUAAAUAAAAUAUAUUCAAUCGUAAGUCGUAACGCCUCGCAAUUCGCAACACCAAAAUAAAGGAGGUCGGUGGACCCCACCGCGACCUCGCCCGCUUAUUAUAGAUCGCACGCGUCCGAAUCGGACCGGAGAAACGCAGUUCGCCCGAACCCAACGGUUUACCUACGAUGGCGACGCAGGCGUUGGCGGCCUCCACAACCCGCAAUGCGCCACCUCCCCCCCCGCCCCCGCCCCUCCCCUCUCUUCAAGAGGAGACCCUCUCGUGAUUUUCCAUUUCCAUUUCGACUUCAACUUCCCCUCCUCUCUCUCUCUCUCUCUCUCUCUCUCUCUCUCUCGCAUGCCUCACUCUUACCCCAUUCACCUCUCUCUCCUCUCCUCCUCCUCUUCCUCCGAUCUCCUUUCGUAGCUUCGGCCCUUCGAUCCGAUGGCCAUGGCGAUCGAUUCGCCCCGCGGAGCGCUUGGUCUCGUCCUCGUCGGCGUCGUCCUCCUCCUCGCGUUGAUGUCGCCGCGCGCGAGGCUCGGAGCCGUGGCGAGGCCGGAUAAGGAGACGAGGGAGAAGUUCUACGGCGAUCUCGUCACGGGAUCCACCCGCAAUAGCACAGGGGAGGGGAGCAUCGCAGAGAUGUUCGAUCGAGUCCUCGAGAAGGAGUUCUCCGAGAACGAUUCGCCCGAAGGUAAAGGAGUUAGCUCUUUAUCGCAUCUGUUUGAUCAAGAUCCUUGCUCCUGUGUUAUUGCGGAUGUAGUGUGUGUUUUGUUGGCUCGUAGAAUGCCAAGAAACUCUUAUUCCAAGAAUUUGGUAUUCGAUGUUGCGGCAUUUCAUUUGUAAAAUGAAUAUUAGGUUUCAAGAGCAAUUGCAACUAGAUUCCCUGGUGCUAAUGUGCCCCUUUUAUUGUUUUAGUUUUACUCUAUUGUGAAGUUGUCUCCUCUUUCUGUAGUUUUCACUAGGGCUUUGACUGAUCGCAAGAAGAUGUAGUCUUGAGAGUGCUUAGUGGUGAAGAGUGAAUCCAAGAAGUUUUCUGUUGAUAUCUCGAGAGGUGGUGCGACACAUUAAUGCAGGUUUCUUGGAUGGGAAAUUCUUGACUAGUUUAAGGUUUAAUGUGCAUUCUCUUCUGGACUGACAAAACAAGAUGAGAGUGAUCACUCUGAUUUUUUCUUUUUCUUUUUUUUGGGGGGGCGAAUGUGUUGCAUUUCAUUUACAGCAAAACUGAACAACUUAUUUUUGACAUACUAUAUCCGAUGUAAUAGAUCUCCCAGGCUGGGACUCAAACAACAUAUCUGAAGCAUUGAACACAUAUUUUGUCGCCUGAAUUGUUGCAUCUCGUUGUAGAACUUGUCUUGCUGAUUAAGAUAAGCUGGGAGAUAGAGAGAACCUUGGUUUGGAGUAAGUAAAGCAAGAAAGGAAAGUGUAUGCACAAAGCUUUACAUGAUGUUAUAUUAUUCUUACUAUGGAUGCUUAUAUUAUCAAGUUUUAUUUCAUCGUAUGAUUUGCUUGGUUUCUGCACUUUGUGGAUGCUGUGGUGUAGAUUACCUAAUACGUUGAUUAAUAUAGCUCGCAGAAUGAGAACGGGAUUGUAAAACGCCACUUGCUCUAAAACAUGAAAUGAUGGUGGUAGUCUUCAUUGGCAUGUUUUAUAGUUAUAGUAAAUAUUUAUGUGAAAUACAAAAUGUAAAUAAAUAAAAUAGUAUAUAUAUAUAUAUAUAUAUAUAUAAUAUGUGUAUUGCUCUCGAUAUGAUUCCAGUAUAGAGUUAAAAUGUUAGGAUGGGAUCACUGUUUUGCCGUUCCAAUUCGUUAACGAUCCCAAAAUUGGAUCUCACAUUCCUAUUGAAAAUUUGAAUGAAAUUUUACGAAUUAGGUACCCAUGGUUGUGGCAGCUCAAAGGUCUGUUUAUUUUUUAAUAGCAAUCAAUGGGCCUUUACAAGCACAUAUGUUUCUAGAUUUUUCAUAAAUUGACAAUAAAAUAUUUGUUAUUGUCCAUUGGAGUACAUGAGAGUUACAUGAGAGAAUAUCGUUUAUACAUGCGUUCAAUUUUGGCGUCCAAGAGAGAUCUUGGAAAAAUAAGGUGCUUAGUACUCUCAGUUUUACUUGCAUUUUAGAUAUUCAUGCCCAUAAUAUGCUAUUCUUACAUAUCCAUGGUUAUCUUCUUCUUCGUGUUAUUUAGCAUAUUACAAGUGCUAAUUAGUCCUGAUGCCAGUAUGCAUUUUUCACUUCAUUUCUCAUACCUAAUAUAUUUUCUUUGUAAUAAACUUACCACUUAUUGUGAUGCUUCUAAAGACUUGUGUGAUUCUGCUGAGAUAACAUUUCCUUUGCCAGGUCCUGAAAAAAGUAGCUUCAACAACAGCGUAGCAGAUCAUCAAGUAGGUGUGACUUUCCUCUUACGUUCUCAUUUGAAUGUCGAUGCUUUUUGAACUUUGGAGGAGUAUCUAUUUUUUUUAUUGCUCCUCCUUUCCACACUUCAUUUUGGGUGGAGGUAAAGUAGAAAAAUACUAAGCUGGCAGAAACUGUCAAUCAAUAAAUGAGUGAUUUGAAAAGCUCUUUUCAACUAGUUAUUUAUAUUAGUAGAUCCCACCAUUCUAUAAUACUGUAUUGCCGUAGGCACUAGAUGUAUGAAUAGUUGAGCCACCAAAUUUUGAGAUGCUUGGAGGUUUCGAAGUCAAUAAGAGAAAAGUAAAUUAAACAUUUAGCCAGUACCUUAAUGAACUUAAUACAGAAGAUCAAGGAGUCUGUCUAAGCAUGCCUCAGCGAUUCCGCUAAGUUCUAAUUUUCUGAAUUAAUCCCAGAGGUACUUAUAAUUCCGAAUACUAUGUGACUUCAAUUCAUACAUAGCAUUUGUUUCUUUUGUCAAGAGCUUUACUAAUUGAUAUAUACCCGCAUUACUUUAAAUUCAAUUUCUUGAUCUCUUUAAUUUUCCCAUAUAUAUGCACAGCAUGAGUAUGUGGAAUUAUUGUUUACUUUUCUUGCCACUAAGAGGGCAUCAUAUAUUGCUGAAGUACCAAGCUGUUGGAAGAUGUCGCGCCUUCUCGUCUUUGUUACUAAGAUGUUAUUUUAAGGACAGUUUUCUGAUAUAUAUAGAUUGCUGGCUUUAGCGGGAGCUCUUUCGUGACUUAAAGACUCACAAAGUAUUGGUUGAUUCUCUAUCAGGAUAAUGGUGAAAAAGGGCUUAUACUUCAUCAUAUUAUUGUAUGUUAUUCUUUUUAUCAAGGAUUGUCAUGCCAGCGCCACUGCUUGUGUUGCUGUGCUAGCGGCACUGCACGGCGGCACGGAGCAUGCCAACAACGACACGCCCUUUUGCUCUCACCACUAGCACAUUGGCACACAUUGGCAUGGAUUUUUUAAUCAAAUGUUCAUAAAAGUACUUAACCUUUUAGUAUGUUUUAAUAUCUCUAAUUAUGGCUUGAGGAUUAUAUCGUACAAUUUUGUGAAAAUAGAGCCAUAAAAAUCUUAAUAACUAAUAAAAAAUUAAUUUUCAUAUAUUAUGUACAUGUGUGAUAAUAAAACUAAAUCAUAAUUCAGUAAAAAAAAUGUAGAGAAUGACUCUACCAUAAGGAAAAUCAUUACAUCUAAAAUGAUAAAAAAAAUUAAGAGAGGUCUUUUUUUGUUCUUUUAUCACUAAAAGAUAAUUUCAUAUGCAAUUGAACUCACUAAUUGCAAUAAAUGUUAGCAAAUUGACAAGAUUUACAUAUGGAAAAACUUUUGUAAAACUUUUCAUCUAAAAAAAAAAAAACUCAAAAAGACCUUUAGGAACUCAAAAAAAUUAUUUUGUCGACACUGUAUCGACACACCCCGAUGCCACAUAUCGGCAUGGCGUCGAUGCAGUAUGGCAUGGUCGUGAUGCCCCUCCUCCCACGGGGUCACCUAUUCUAAAACUACUCUAGCCUUUGCACGCUUAAUCCUUUUAGCCUCUUAAUUCUAGCCACCGUACAAAAUGUUAUAACUGGGUUAGAAGGUUUAGCCCUAUUAUAUCUUAUAUAUAGGACUAUUCCAAAUCUUAGGGGUGUCACAUUCCUUCCUCUUUUAUGCCAUGAUGUUCUUGUUAGGCUCAAGUACACUUACAAGCACCAGACGAUGUGAAUUUUGUUUUGCUAGCCUUAGCCGACCUUGUGGGGAGCCGCGCUCCACCCACAAUGAUUGUUAGUUGAGAGCCACACUCUGUCUGCUAUAUGACUUUAGCUUAGUCGAGACUCAUCUCACAUUUUUGGCUAGUGAUUGACUUUGAUACCAACUGUUAUGCCCUGCUUCCCAGGGGGGUCACCGAUCCUAAAACUACUCUAGCCUUAACGCACUUAAUUUUCUUAACCUCUUAGCCCUAACCACCACCUAAAAUGCUAUAGUCAAGUUAAGAGGUUUAGCCCUUUUAUAUCUUAUAUGUAGGACUAUUCCAAAUCCUAGGGGUGUCACAGUGGUGUGUAGCGGUAUGGACAAUCUUUGCUUUUUAUUAAAAGUUUUAAUGGCUAAUUAUUGUUAUGAUGACAACCGUGUACUCUUUAGUUGCUAUUAUGCCAAUACCAUAUAUAUUUAUUCUAAUAUCAGAUGCAUCGAAUCAAUUUUCUUGGCUUUAUUAGUUAGACUAUUUUGAAGUCUCUUUAUGUCAAGUAAAGUUUACUCCGUAGACUUACUUUAACUGUACAGGCUGUUUUAGAGACUGUAGCUAUUAUUACGCAUGACAAGUCAAAGAAAAAUGGUUCGGAGGAGAAAAGGUAUUAAAAUAUUUUCAAGGUGGCAUUAAUUAGCAGCAGUUUAACUAUGAGUUUGUAUUGACUUCUAUAUUGCCGUUUAUUAUAGCGCCAGCAAAUCUUUCCAAAUUGGUGAUGUCUUUUCAUUGGAAAAUGAGGGCUCUGAUGAUACGACAACCUUGAUAGAUAGAAAGGUACAAACAACAUGUUUUAUUGAUGUGCAGAAAUUUUGGUGUUUCUUGUCUUGUAAUUAUUGAUUGACCCUUCUAAACCACUUGCUUGUAAUCUGCACAGGACAAUGUCUUUGUGAUGUCAAAUCGUAAAACUAAGUACCCAAUGCUUCAAGUGGAUUUAAGGUUUAUUUUUGAAGUUAGAUUUAGAAAUAUCUUGUAUAUAAUCUGUUGUUAAUUGGUGAAUACUUGUGAGCAGCUUAUUUGAUGACAAUGAUUGCUUGCAGGUUGAUUUCUGAUCUGGUGGUUGUAAUUGUUUCAGCUACUAUUGGUGGUAUCACCUUUUCCUGUUUGGGCCAGCCGGUGAGUAGUUACAAUAUGCUCUUUCCUGUUAAAGCAGUCAUUCUACAGUUAAAAAUGCGGUUGCACCUCUUCACUUAUGCUAAAAGGUGCUCCACAGUGACAUUUGUUCUUCUGCUUUUGCUCAUGGAUAUUAUUUUUUGUGCUGCUUAUAUUUACAGGUCAUUGUUGGUUAUCUUCUUGCGGGGUCUCUCGUUGGACCUGGAGGGUUGAACUUCAUCAAUGAAAUGGUGCAGGUAAUUUGAUAGCAUCCAAAUAUUCAGAAUUUGGUCAUUUCUAAUAUUUUACCUCUUCUGCUGGUUUAGCUGCAUAUUCCUCGACUUCUGAUAAAUUCAUAUUUGACUGGUUUGCACAGAAUCUGCUGUAGUUAAUCAGUACUACUAAAUGGUUCAUCCUCUAGUUUUAAAGUUACUAAUGCACCAACUCCUAGAUAAUUCAUCCUUUCGUGGUGGAAUCUGAUUUGUUAUAGAUGGGAAAAGUAGUCAACCCUUUUUAACCAUGUCACCAUGUGACAUGGAAAUGGAUAUUAAAUGUGAGUGUCCUAUUCAAACCAGAUGUUAAAUGGAUAGGAAUAAAAAGGUCUGUCAUUUGCAAGUGGCACUAGGUGCAUGCUACACUGCAUUCAUAUGCUAGCUUCUAAGUGUAUUCAAGGUGUACUCUUAAGUACUGCAAGUUUGUGAUAUACCUCGGAUAUGCAGAAAAUGUUAUGCUUUAUGAAAUUUCUAAAUUGAUGUUCUUUUAGGGUAGUCUUAGUGAUGGUAUGUUUCUUAUCUCAAGUGUUUCUGUAUGAUUGAUGUUCUUUUAGGCUAGUCUUAGCAAUGGUAUAUUUCUUAUCUCAAGUGUUUUCUGUAUGAUAUGUUUCCUUCACAUUCAGGUAGAGACUGUUGCACAGUUCGGCGUGGUCUUUCUUCUUUUUGCUUUGGGCCUCGAAUUUUCAUUGACAAAGGUAUCUAUCUGUAUGAGACUAAAAUGUAUACUCUAUCCUUGCAUGAUUCAAUUCUGUGCUGACACUCUUUAAUCUCAUACAACCACUUGUCUAAACAAUGCCAGUUAAAAGUUGUUGGACCUGUUGCUGUUUUUGGAGGUCUACUUCAGAUUCUUAUUUUCAUGUCCUUGUGUGGUCUAACUGCGAUGGUACGUUAAUGCUUAUUUUAUCUUUACUGAGAUCUGUUUUGUCAUGUGUCCCCGAUCUUUUUUUUGAAUGGAAUGUAUGAGCUUUUCUGUCUUAAGUUUGAGGUUUUGAUUUCACACAGUUAUGCGGCGCAAAACCUUCUGAAGGUGUAUUUGUCGGCUCUUUCCUAUCAAUGUCAUCUACUGCAGUGGUGAUGAUUUCAAGUCUAAUAAAUAGAUUCAAGCUUUUUUACGUUUUCUUCUCUUUAUUCUAGACUAAUUAUUUUGCGUUUCAUUUCCAUUACCAGGUCUCUAAAUUUUUAGUGGAAAAGAGUAGUACAAAUGCUCUUCAUGGUCAAGUUACAAUCGGUACUCUUAUUCUGCAGGUUUGGUUUAUGAAUUGUUCUACUUUUGAAUCAUUAUAAGAUAGGUCAUAUGUUACCAUUUCCUAGACUUCUUUUCUCCCUGGCUAGACCAUUAUACCAUGUUAAACCACUAUUUUUUUUUAAUUAUAUAUCCAAGGACCACCAUACUAUGUGGCUGUGAUGCACUGUUUUGUUCAACUAUACUGCCAUUGUUCAAUAAUCCAAUCGAUAAGCAAAAUGUCAAUAAUGUGGCUUCUAAAAAAUGUAGAUUCAGUAUAGAUGUCACUUGAUUCAUGCAGGUUGAUUACAGCAUACCAUCACGUAGAUGAGUAAGGUAUGUUUUCUAAGCUGGAAAUAUUGAUUUCUUCUUCGCUUUUUCUCUACAGGAUUGUGCUGUGGGUCUACUCUUUGCUUUGCUUCCAGUUUUGGGUGGUAGCAGUGGUGUUUUCCGAGGAAUAAUGUCUAUGGGAAAGUUGUAAGAGGCUAUAACAACUUGUAAUACACAAAGUUUAACCCAAAGUUCUCCAAAAACAAAGUCUGAUCUGAAAAUUCAUAUUUAAGUUAGAUUUAGACAAUAAUAUCAGUGUUAACGUGCUUGUCGAACAAAAUUGACACUUGCGAAUUUGUUAUUCUUUAACAAUUAAUAAUAGUGAGUGAUGUAUUGGAUGUUCUUUUACAAUUAAUAAUAUGGUGAGUAAUGCUCAUUUGAAACGUUUCCAUACACAGGUUGAUGGUCUUGUCCCUGUUUAUAACUGCUGCAACUAUACUCUCUUGGUCUUUUGUUCCUCGUUUCUUGAAGCUUAUGAUUCAGUUGUCAUCACAAGUGAGUUAUCUCCUCUGCUUGAUUGCAUCUUUUUGACAAGAAAAUCAUCAAGAAUUAGAAUGCUUCUUCCUUAAAUCUUAUUAUGUUUUCUCCUAGUUAUCAGUGGUUCUCACUUGUCUACUAUAUGCAAUGAGAGUUCGGUGACUUCUGGCAAAAUGAGAAGUUAAGAAUAAUUUUGUUUGAUAUGCUGAAAAUUCUUACACAUUGUUAAUUAAGCUCAAAUUCAACCUGAAAACGCUAGUAUGCAGCAACCUGUACAUGGCUGUCCUUUCAGUAAAAGCUUGUCUAUAUAUUUGGGGUAAAUUACAUCAUUAGUCCCUAAACUCUUGCACGACUUUCACUUUGGUCCUUAAACGUCCAGUUGUUGCAUUAGACAGUUUGAACUCGAACUUAAAAAUGUUCCAGUGUCAGUCCUGCCUUCAGCUUUUGUCACCAAAGGCAGAAAUCUUACAUGGCAUGCUAACUCACUGAUCGUAAACCUGUUUAUUAUACACAGGUGUUUAACAUAUCCUUGAUUGGCAUACUUAAUUCCUUCAAAAGUUUUAUAAUCUUGAUAAUCAUGAACAUUCAUUAUUGUUGGCAGAAAAAAGUCAUUUAGGGGCUUAGAAUCAGUGACUUGCAUGACCCGUUAGAUUUCUAAUCUUCAGGCAACCGAAGCAGACGGCAGAACUGAGCUUGGAAUAUUUCAAAAGUUCCAGCCCUCUAAUGUAAUAAAUCAAAGUAAAACUCGAGCAAUAGUUUAGGGACGACCGGUGAAAUUUACCCUAUGUCUUUUUAUUGUUAAAUAUUUUCUGUUAAUGUCGAUAUCCGUCACAUAAAUCUCAUUUCUUAUGUCCCAUAGUAAAAGCAUAGUCUUUUAUUGAGUUCUCACAGUAUAUAUAUAUAUAUAUAUAUAUAGGAGUAGGGCUGCUGUGCUCUCAGGAGCACGGAGGUCUCCGUGCUCCUGAGCCGUUUUCGAUGAUGGAAUUUUCGAAUUGAUGAUCGGCUCCAUUAGACUUGAUCUAGGGUAUUUAAAGUUUCUAGAAAAUAAUUUUUGCGAUUUUUUGAUAUCAUUUACCUAGUGAUCGAAAGGAUUCAAAAUCAAUAAUUUUUAAUGGUUGAUAUCUGCCGUUUUUAAGUUUAACGGUGUAGAAGUAUUCAAAUCAGAUGAAAUUUUGAUACAAAAUUCUUUAUACUAUCUAUAACAAGAUCAAUAUUUCCGAUCGAAAAUUUUAGUGCUAUAUCACCACUUUUUAUAGGAUUUUUAUUUUCAGCCGUUAAAAAUUAUUGAUUUUGAAUCCUUUCGAUUGCUAGGUAAAUGAUAUCAAAAAAUCGCAAAAAUUAUUUUCUAGAAACUUCAAAUACGCUAGAUCAAGUUUAACGGAGCCGAUCGUCGAUCCGGAAAUUCCAUCAUCGAAAACGGCUCCUGAGAGUACAGCAGCCCUACUCUAUAUAUAGAGCUAGGUUGAUAUACUAUCGGUAGCACGAAGGCCUUCAUGCUACCAAGUUGUUAUCAAUGAUGCGGCUUCCAAAUCGACGAUCGGCUCCAUUAGACUUGAUCUACACUAUUGAAAGUAUUUGGAAACUAAAUUUCAUAAUUUUUCGACAUCAUGUUCCUAUCAAACGAGUAGUCUAAAAAUGAACGGCUGAAAAUAAAAAUCUCAUAAAAAAUGAUGAUAAAAGACUUGAAUUUAAGAUCAGAGGUACUGAUCUUACUCUAAAUAGUGAAAAGAAUUUUCUAUAAAAAUUUCAUCAAAUUUGGAUUGUUUUACACCGUUAAAUUCACAAACGCAUCAUAUCUACCAUUAAAAUUGUCAAUUUUGAGAUAUUUUGAUCGCUAGCCAAAUGAUGUCGAAAUAUUAUAAAAUUUAGUUUCCAAAUACUUUUAAUAGUGUAGAUCAAGUCUAAUGGAGCCGAUUGUCGAUUUGGAAGCCGCAUCAUUGAAAACAACUUGGUAGCACGGAAGCCUCCGUACUACCGAUAGUAUACCAGCCUAGCUCUUUCUAUAUAUCUAUACUAUAUAUAAAAGCGUAUAAGAAUUCCAACAAUGACAUACGGAAUCCAAAAAGGAAUAAAAUAAUUUUUUACUACGAAUGGUAAUAAUUAAUCUAUAUUUAUAUCUAUAUCUAUACUAUGUAUAAAAGCGUAUAAGAAUUCUGACAAUGAUAGACGGAAUACAAAAAGGAAUAAAAUAAUAUUCCCUACGAAUGGUUAUAAUUAAUUUGUUAAAAAUAUCUCAAAUAAAAAUUAACGGUUAUGAUCAAUCUAUUAAAUAUAAAAUAAUAUUCCCUACGAAUGGUUAUAAUUAAUUUGUUAAAAAAUAUGUCAAAUAAAAACGAACGGUUAUGAUCAAUCUAUUAAAUUUCUACUACAUAUAAAAGUCUAUCUAUAUCUAUACUAUAUAUAAAAGCGUAUAGGAAUUCCGACAAUGACAGACGGAAUCCAAAAAAGAAUAAAAUAAUAUUCCCUACGAAUGGUUAUGAUUAAUUUGUUAAAAAUAUUUCAAAUCAAUAAAAAAUCAAUCUAUUAAAUCUCUACUAUAUAAAAAUCUAUUCUCUACAAAUGCUUAUGAUCAAUUUGUUUAAAAAAAAAUCUCAAAUAAGAACAGUUAUGAUCAAUUUAUUAAAAAAUAGCAUUCCUAUCCAUCUAUAAAUUCAAUCCCACGAACGAUUAUAAUCAAUUUGUUAAAAAAUACCUCAAAUAAAAACAAACUGUUAUGAUCAAUUUGUAAAAAAAAAGCAUUCCUAUUUAUCUAUUUUACAUUAAAAUUUGAGUUUAAAUUAUGAAUUAAAUUUAAUUUUUGAUAUCAAAUUUAAAUUAACAAUUAAUUUUUUUAUUACAGUGGAUCAAUCUUAAAUUUUAAAAUUUGAAAAUAAAUAUAAAUUAAAUUUUGAUGCUUUUAGUUUAAAACACAUAUUUAAAUUUAAUUCAUCAAAAAUCAAAAAAUAUAUAAAAAUGUUCGAUGUAUAUAAAAAAAAGAACACAUAGGAUAUUGUAAAUAUUUUCUAAUAAAAUAUAAUAUAUUAAUUUAUAAAUAUAGGUUUUUAUUAUAAAAUUUUUUAUUAUAAAUGUACACAUUUAUAUUAGUUUGAAUAUAUUAUAUAAUAAUAAUUGUUACGUGCUUUGCACAUACAUUCAACUAGUGUAUAUAUAUAUAUAUAUAUAUAUAUAUAUAUAGAGUUGAGCUAGAAUACUCUCAAAAGCACCAAGGGGGUGGUGCUUUUGAGUUUUUAACCAUUGGAUGGAGAGAUGUAGGGUUGAGAUGAUGGUGGUAGGUGGAAUAGUGUUUUGAUCCAAGGGGUAUUAGUAAUUAAGGAGUAGAUCCAAGGGCUAGAAACUUAGAAGCACAAGGAAUUGGUGCUUCUAAAUUAUUCCUAGGCUUUCAUUCUAUAUAUAUAUAUAUAUAUAUAUAUAUAUAUAUAUAUACUCAUUUGUUAUUUACUAGAGUAAAAGCAAAAGCUUUUAUUGAGUUCUCCUCACAAUCUAUCAGCACAUGUAUCACAUGUGUAGUGUCCUAGACUCUGGUUUUUCUCAUAAUCAACUGUACAAUGAAAUGCUUGAAAACUAAAUAAUAUGGCGUGUGGAAUUUGCUUCAUGGUUGGCUGGCCUAAAGUGCUUUAUAGUGUCAACUGUUGAAUGCAUAGCAUCGUAGCUACUACAAUUGAGAAUGGUCACAUGAUGAAAAAGAGAGAUCAAUGAAGCAUCUAAUAAAGUGGCGGAUAACUCACACAGGUUAUUAUCUCUAUGGAUCACCUAGAAUGGCUAUAUUGAACCUUGAUAAUCUGCCAAUGACAAUGGAAUAACCAUAUCACGGUGCAUGUCACAUAGAAGUUCAAAUUUGAUCAAGAUCCAUACUUGGGUAUUUUUUAUAGUUUCCUUUUGAAAAAUUACUCUGCUACCAGACAUAAAAGUUCUUUCUUUAGAUCUUGUACCGAUUCAAGCUCUUCCACUUACAGUAUUUUAUUGGUAAAUGUAUGUAAUGACGAGUUCCAGUUAUUGCCCUUUCAGUCCUCUCUUUUAUCAUAGAUUUCUAUACAUUUUCACUUGACCCAUUUGCUGAAUUUGCAGACGAAUGAACUAUACCAGUUGGCAUCCGUGGCUUUUUGUUUAUUACUGGCAUGGGUGAGUGCAUGCUAAGUUAUUUCCUUCCUUUUUUUUCUUUAAGAAAAACAAUUUACAGUCAAUUUUUGUACACUUGAACAUUAAGUUUAUGGUUUCUGUUUAUCAUUACACAAGAACUUCACCAGAGUGUAAAGCUGCAAUUUGAAGUCACCUUUUCUUUUAGCUACCGUUGAUUAUGUGUUGCUGUCCCACAAACCACGACUUAACAGUUUUGCUGAUCUUUUACUUUCCUUUUUUAUGUAUGUCAGUGCAGUGAUAAGCUAGGAUUGAGUCUUGAGCUUGGUUCAUUUGUUGCUGGUGUUAUGAUAUCCACCACGGACUUUGCUCAGCAUACCCUGGAGCAGGUUAGACUAAUUUGUGUGUAUAUCGAAAUAAACAUUAUACGAAUAGCAUAGGAACUUCUGUGAUCAGCUCUAUUACCUUUUAUAUUAUAUUAAACACAUUAUUUUUAAUUAUGGGCAACAUAGAAUGGUUGUAUUUUUUUAAUUAAUUAAAUAUAAAUUUGGUGCUGAUCUUAGACAUGUUAAGACGUUUGAAGUCUACAUGUACUUUAUGGGUCACUUAUCAAUGUUUUUUGUUAUUCUUCUAUCAGGAUACAUGUUUUAGGUAUGAAGUUUUGGCCUCAUUUGGUAUUUUUGCCAUUUUUAUUUUUUUUCAACACUAAUUCUAUACAAUUUGGUUUGUUGGAGGAAAUACUUCUUAUUUGCUGUUAUAAUUGGUUAGCUUACAAUGCAUCUGCCAAAAUGAUAGAUGACAACUUGUUUAAAAAAAUAUUGGAAGCAAAAAAAGUUUUUUUUUCGAGUUUUUGUUUUAUGUUGCCAAAUAAACACUUUGGAUGAAAGGAUUGCUUGCAAUCUAUAGUCCGCUCAUGCACCUUUUGAUAUACAAGUUUGGAUUUAAAAAAAAAAAAGCAAACACGAUACCAAACAAGGCCUUUUUUUUCGUUCUCUUUUGUUUUUUUUACUUUAUCAAUUCUAACACUAUUUUGUUUUUCCCCUCUUAAGGUGGAAGCAAUACGCAAUUUAUUUGCUGCACUUUUCCUUGCUAGUAUCGGCAUGCUCAUACACGUUCAGUUCCUGUGGAACCAUGUUGAUAUAUUACUUGCAGCUGUUAUUCUGGUCAUUAUAAUCAAGACAAUUGUUGUAACGAUAGUAGUAAAAGCAUUUCGGUACAGCAUCAGAACAGCUUUUGUGGUAAGCAUCACAAACAACAUUUAUUUUCAUUGUGCCGCCAAGAGCUUUAUUCUAAUAAUCGGAAUAUUUUACUCUGCUGUUUAAUGCUUUUUCUACUUUUGGCAUAUAGGUGGGUCUAUCAUUGGCUCAAAUUGGGGAGUUUGCGUUCGUUUUAUUGAGCCGUGCUUCACAUCUUAAGCUUGUUGAGGUGAAUAUUCUCAUCCCAUGCUGGAUCUACUUUAAUGCUCUAUAUAUAUUUAGUUAGAAGUUGGCUCAUGACUUUGAGGGAUUGCUUAGACUAAGGAAGAUGUUAGAAGGCUAGGGUUCCGGUUGUGCAAACAAGGCUUGUAACUUGUUUGCCUUUUCACAGUGUUGAUAUGGGUAUUUUCAUAUGCAAAUAUUGAUUCUUGACUUUUGGUUGUUUUCUAUAUUUUCUACAAGGCAAGAGAAAAUUUACCAAAGUUACUCUCUUCUAUCAUCUAAAAACAAUUCGUCAGUUGCAAGUUGUACAAUGAGUUUUUCCCCCCAUGAUCUCCUUGAUUCAAUUUGCUGCCCACUGUUUCGCAUGUUAUCUAUUCUGUUCACCUUUUAGAUCCUUUAGUCAAGUAUAUCCCACCUAUUAUACCAUGGGAAUAACUUUAGUUGGGACUAAAGGCUUAAGUCAUGUUGUUUUUGCAGGGAAAAAUGUACCUCUUGCUUUUGGGAACAACUGCUCUUAGCUUGGUAAACUUCUUCUGAUUUAAUUGCUUCGUAAUCUAGCUAUUUUUGUCUUAUUUAUAUGCCUCAUAUAUAUAUAUAUAUAUAUAUAUAUAUAGAGAGAGAGAGAGAGAGAGAGAGAGAGAGAGAGAGAGAGAGUAUCUAAUUGCCUUUUCUCUCUACAGGUAACAACACCUCUCAUUUUCAAACUAAUACCUGCAGUAAUGCAUCUUGGUAUUCUUAUGCAUUGGUUUCCUUCCGAGAGCAGCAUGCAGAAUGAGGUGUGUUCAUUCACUUUUUUUUUAUUACAUUCAAUCAGAUCUCUCAAGUAAUUCCGGCCCAAGCAUCUGUUAAUAGUAAUAACUUGCCAUAAGAACAUCGGGAUGUUAUUUUUUUGAUGAUUGUCCUCUUUAGUUUAAUGAAAAACUGGGAAUUUGCUUAGACUAGUAAUGUGAGCGAGCUUGUGUACCAGUGCUGCUGAAUUGUAAGGCGAUUCUGAGCUUAAUACUCUUUGGCUGUUAACUGCUUGCAGGAUAGAGCAACCAUGCUUGAUGUCUACAACAGGUCACUUUGACAUCGCCCACUUAUUACCUAAUAUAAAAAAAAUUUGCAGUUCACCACAGUUCUCCCAACUGUUCAUGCUGCAGAACAUUUCACAACAGAUUUUACAGUUCUUCACUGCCUACAAACUCAAAGUGACGAAUAAAGAAGAUCUCUGCCGUCUCUCACUCGUGAGCAGUUGUUUUGUAAACUGAAACUAGUUACAUUUCUAUGACAUGUAAAUAUGACCGAUAUUGGAUUUCAGAAAAUUCUUUAACACGACAAAAUUUGUAGCCAGGACGUUGUUUUUGAUCUUGAAUAGUUAUUUUUGAUCUUGAAUAGUUAGAAGGGAAGCUUAUUCUAGAGGAAAACCUUCUACCAUUGUAUAAUGUUCAAAAAGGAAGUCACAUGUAAGACUCGGGAAAAUUGAUGAAGCAACCAUUUCUUUCAGCUCUUUUGCAUAUGUUGACAGUCACCAUUAAGUUUCUGUUUAAGAUGCUGUUAAGAUGUAGAGUCCGGAGGGAUGUUAAGAUGUAGAGUCCGGAGGGGACUCAAAUCACCUUUCUUUCAUCGUCUUUAAAUGGGGCUUCUGUUAAAUUGAAGUCAAGAUAAGCAUGUCUAUUCUAAUGUGAUGUGCUUUUCACUUUAUUAUGUGUGAUUUAUAUAUAGUGAAAUCAGAGUAAGGAAGCGGUUGUACUACGAUUCUCAUUUGUAUGAAGGGGAAAGAUUGCUCCAAGUUAAGGUAUUGUAUAAGAUGAUUAAUUAAUGUGGCUAAGAUUAAUUUCAACUCCUGGAUGCAUAGUAGAGUGCCUGAAUGGCUUUCACUAUGCUUUGUAAACAAGCAGAUUACAAGAGCUGCCAAUGUAUUACAUAGCCUAUUGAAAAGUAUGUUGCUCAUUUUUUGUUUUCUGAGUAUUGCUAUAUUGGUACAAUAUAACAUGGGGGUAAUAGUGCUCAAUCUGCAAUCCUUUACCAAGGAGCCAUCAUUUUGCUUACAGACUAUCAAACAGAAAAGCAACUUGUAGUAUGACUGUCAUCCUUUUUCGUACUCAUCUGCUCGCAUGAGUCUCCGAUAAAUUUGGAGUUUAUGUUACCAUUGGUCCUGUGGCGGCUGAAGGGGAAGCAUGUGACAAGACCCUCUCUUAUGAAUUCCUGCUAGUAUAGUAAAUGAGCAUAAUCUCAAUGCAACAGCAAUAUAUGACAGGAAGUAUCUCAUCUUUGCAGAAAUGAUUAUAGCCGUAAUGGAGGCACAGGAUCUUGAGUUGCUACAGGACUUAUAAUUUUGGUAUGAAUUACUGAUUGGAUCGUUGAAGUCUCUUGAUUCUCCUAAUAGAACAAGUUAUCAUUUUGUUCAUCAUGGUUAUAGCUUAGUGUAUGCAGAGCUAUGAGUAUUUUGAGUUGAAAACUUGUGGACUUAAAGUAUUCAUCCAUUCGAUCGCUCAUUUACAAUCAGAUUUCUGUGUUGUUCAGUGAGAAUUAAAGAAAGUAGGUUCAGAUAUGUACCGCAGAGAGGCUUUUCUUCUUGACAACAAGUGGCUUCCUUUUGUAGCUCAGUUUGCGGCUAAGCAUUAUGAGUUCUCCAAGAGUCAGGGUCCUCCUCGCCAAAGGCCUCGGAUUGUCAUCACAAGUGUUCUUACAGAAAUCAGCAGCAGCUCCAUCUUGCCUGCGAACCUUGUUAAGAAAACCUUCUUCUGGAAGGGAAACAGGGAAAACGAAAUCCAGAACCAAAGCAUCUGUGCCGCCAUUCUGUGCUGCUGAGCUGGUCGAGCUGCUGCUGUAGGCAUCAGUCUCCGACAUGGAGUGCCAGUUCUCGUGCCAGCUCGAGCCACCUUGGCACAGACUUUCCUGAAAAGUGAAACCACUAGCAGCAACAAUUGAAAGUGAAUUGUUAAGGACAGGAUCAGCUCUGGGUGCUUGGUUAUUAUUGACUUCAAAAGCAAAACCCUCAAGAUCAAACCCUGGAGAAUAAUCCCUGUCCUCGGCAUUAAAAGCACCGAACUCCGGAUCAAACCUUUCUUCAUCCACAAAAGGGUUCAGAGAGUGAGUGGAUGGAGAGAGAUCACCGAAAAUUGCCGGGAAAUUCUGAGGCAACUGGGCGAGCGGUUUCCCAGGUUCUUCCUCCCAUUGGAAGGGUACACUCACAACAAGUUUCGCUGGAGAUGGAAAUGAGAUCAAGGAGGUAGGAUUGGAAAUCCACUCCCUUUUGGGUGUGCCAGGUUUCAGCUCCCACAGAAAUGGAACUGAAAUCUGCUGCUUCACCCUUUGCCUUGGAUUAAAUUCCAGAAGUUCUGUCUCUUCAGCCAUCUCCAAUGUAGGUUGGCUUAAGAUAGGUUUGUAGUUCACACCAUAGAAUGUGGUAUUUGUAGGAGAGCCGCUGAGGUUUAGAUAAAGCUGCUCCUUGGUCAACAUUGCUAUGGUUGAACUAUUCCCCUUUGGGAGAAACAAAAAGCUUCAAAAAGCUUCCUUUACCCACUCCUCUUAUGGACUCUUUGAUACAUAAUUAGUUCCUUAAACAAUAGAAAUGUUUUAUAAAUAGAUUUGGGGACUCUUUGAUACAUAAUUAGUUCCUUAAACAAUAGAAAUGUUUUAUAAAUAGAUUUGGCUACCAUCACUUGCUAAAAAAAACAAAAAGAAGGAAAUGCUGCUACCAACAAAAUAACAUUUUAUUGCAAAACAAAUUUGAGGUUCCAUGUAACAAAUGCAACAACAAUGGUGACAAAGUAAAGAAUGAAAAGAAAGAAUGUGAUGUAAUUAAUCAUUGUGCCACCAAAAGCAAUCAUCCUUGCGCGACGAAUAUUUACCGCGAGAGGCAUCACGAAUUGUUCCUAACCGACUCCAAAAACUGCACCACCUCCGCCAUGCUCGGCCGCCUCGUCGGGGCCUCGGAAGUGCAUAUCAACCCUAUUUUCAGCACCUGAAUCAAUUCGCUCUCUACAAAAUCACUCAAAUUCCCGUCAAAGCAAUCGGACGGGGUACCGUCCUCUAACACCUCCCUCACAUAGUCGCGCAGCACCACCACCUUCGCCGCCCCCGGGCUAUCCACCGGCUUCCGCCCCGUCACAAUCUCCAGCAAAACUACCCCGAAGCUGUACACGUCACACUUAUCACUAUACCGCAAGCUCUGAGAGGCUAACUCGGGUGCUACGUACCCAACUGCUGUAUGAAACUUUGUCAGUUGAAGGCUACCGAGAAUCGGUAACAGCUUGCCCAACCCAUAAUCCGAUAACUUAGCUUCGUACUUUUCAUCUAACAAUAUGUUAGUAGACUUAAUGUUAAGAUGCAGGAUUUGGGGUUUGCAAUCAUGGUGGAGAUAUGCGAGGGCUCGAGCCGUUCCAAGAGCUAUUCUAAACCGUCGCGACCAGAGGAGCUCGCUUCUGCCUCUGCCGCUACUGCUGCUAGGAUAGGGGAAGUGAUUCCCAUGCAGAUGAUCAUAGAGAUUCCCAUUAGGGAUGAAUUCGGAGAGAAUCAACUGCAUUGUGGAUGACCAGUAGUAGCCCUGGAAAGCAACCAGAUUUGGGUGGCUAAGACUGCCGAGCUGGCCCAUCUCCUGCUCGAACUCAUCCUGGUUCCGGAUCCUCCCUAGGGUUUCGAGCCUCUUCACGGCGAUCGUUACCCCGCCCUCGAAGCUGGCCUUGUACACCGUGCCUAUCGAUCCGCCGCCUAUAAUGCAGUCCUUAUCGAGAAGCGCCUUUGUGCCCGUUUCCCAGUCUUCGUACUUCGAAGGUAGGCUCUUGCUGAAGAGGACCAACUUCCCGAUGAUCACAUUCGAUCCAGUAGAGAGAGGCGGCGUGCUCUCGGACACCAAGACCUCCUCUUGCCGCCCUCUCCUUCGAUACGCCCCGAUGUUCAUGAUUGUGACGAUACAAACCCCGACGAAAAUAAUGGCCGCGGCAACAAUGACGACUAUGGCGGAAACACUCAGUGAUCUUGCUCUCCGUGGGCCGCCGCAGAUGUUGUUCAGCGGAGGGCCGCAUAGCUUCGGAUUGUGCAUGAAUGCUGAGAAGCCGAAUCUUUGAAGGUAAGAAGGGAUAGUGCCGGAGAGAUCGUUGUAGGAGAGAUUGAAGUAGGUUAGUUUUGUCAGGUUUUCUAGGCGCGGGAUGGCGCCCGUGAGUGAAUUCUCCGACAGAUCGAGGAAUUCGAUGUUGGUGAGGUUGUCGAGGGCGCCGGGGAUUCCUCCCUGCAAGCGGUUCCCGGACAGAUCCCUGCAUCGGCAGAAACACUAAAACAUUUCAUUCGAUUCGCGAAAGCAAACGAUAUUCGGGAGAAGGGUCUACGGACCGAGAGGCUGCGAUUUCUACUUACAGCUGGAGAAGAAAGAGGCAUUGGCCCAGGGAAGCCGGGAUCUCGUCGGAGAGUUGAAGGUUUUCGAGAUCGAGCACGCAGAGCAGCUCGAUCCCGCCGAGCUCCGGCGGGAUGGGGCCGCUUAUGGCGGCAUUGUUCCCCAGCCUGAGAACUGAGAGCAAUUUUAGUGUCCCAAACUCGGCUGGGAUGGUUCCGGAGAGAUUGUUAGAUCCCAAAUCCAAGUACUCCAGUGCCUGGCAAUUGACAACGCUUGUGGGGAUUCCGCCACUGAGAGCAUUACCGGAGACGUCGAAAUAGCCCAACCUCCUCCCGCAGGAUGCGAUCUUCGGAAUCUCUCCGACGAAGCCGUUCGCAGAUGCAUUGAAGUAGGUGAUGUUCACGAGGCCGAGGAUGCCGAAGGGGAUCGAUCCGGAGAACGAAUUGCUCCCGAUAUCGAACAGGCUCAAGCUCCGACACUGAGAUAUCUUAUCGGCGACGGUGCCGGAGAGGGAAUUGCUGCGGAGGGAGACGUAGUUGUUGAAGGAGAAGUCGAAUCCGACGAGCUUGGAGCAGUUGCCGAUGGAUCCGGGGACGGGGCCGGAGAGGGCGUUGUGGGAGAGGGAGACGUAGCGGGUCUUGAUGCAGCUGCGGAAGAGCUCGUCGGGGAUCUCGCCGGAGAAGGCGUUGUAGGAGAGGUCGAGGAGGCGGAGCCCCGGGAAGGAGCCGAGGAAGGAGGGGACAGCGCCGGAGAGGGCGUUGCGGCUGAGGUUGAGCUUGUGGAGGGUGGGGGCGAGCGCGGCGAACUGCGGCGGGAUCUCGCCGGAGAAGCGGUUGCCGAAGAGGGAGAGGAUCUGGAGCGAGGGGAGCCGGGAGAGCGACGCGGCUAGGGUUCCGGCGAGGUCGGCCCCGUGGACGAGCACCUUCACGACGGCCCCGGAGGGGUCGCAGCUCACCCCGGCGAAGUCCCGGCACGGGUCCCCCCCGGCGCUCCACGUCGCGAGCGCCCCGCGCGGGUCGGAGCUCACGUUCCCCUUGAACUCCAGCAGUAUCUCCUUCUCCGCCGCCGUCGCCGCCGCGGCCACCUCCGCCGCGAGCACGACGGCGACGACGGCGACGACGACGACGACGACGAAGUGGAAGAGACGGUCACGGCGCCGGAGCCUCAUUCCCGCCGUCCGUUACCGCCACCGUUAGCGACGGCGUGGGGUGCGGUCACCGCCCGGGUAAGCAUCUCCCACCAGUGUUAGUAGAGCGAUCCUACGCUUUCUAGUACUAGGCGCAGUAGCAAUAAAUAAAAAGUAUAGCAGUAGGUGAGAGGUAUAGUUAAGUGGUAUUAAAUGGGAAGUGGAGGAGGGGACUCCUCCGGUGAGGUUAAUAAAUAGUGGGGAAGCACGUGUGUGUGUUCUUUUUCAUGCGUUAGAGAGAGUUAGAAAUUGGAUUGGUGGAUGGAGGAGGAGGUGACUGUACUCGCCGUUGUUGUUGGGGGUGGAUUCAAUGGUCUCGCCUACCACACCACCACCACCAUUACACCAUUACCAUCAUCAAAAAGAUGGUGAUGAUUGAGCUGCAAAAGAGUUUAGCAUUUGUACUGCUACCAAUAGUAGUAACCUUUCCUGCGAGAGUGGAAGUUAAUGCGAGGCCACAAAAGAGAGUUAUGUGGGUGACAGGGUGAAGUUAUGAGAUUGGCUUUUUUUUUUUUUUUUUUCUUUUUUUAAGAGAAAACUUCCAAAUAUUAUUCCUGCAAUUUCAUUUUUUUUAAAUUUUAGUACUAUAUGUUUUAAAGUCUAUUAAUUUAGUAUUCUACAAUUUUAUUUUUCUCUUUUUAUUAUCUACUCCACUAAAUUUUUUUCGUUAAAUCAGCUAUAAAGUUAAAACUAAAAUAUACUAAAGUGAAUAUUCAAUAAAUAUAGAUGAAAUAUCAGAAAUUUUUUAUAUAUAAUUUAAUAAAAUGUUAACGAAAGAACUGACAAAAAAAAAAAAAAAAUCACGGAGUACUAAAUUAAUACAUUUUAAAUCACAGAAUAUUAAAAUGAAAAAAUCCGAAACCAUUGGGUGGUAUUUGAAAUCUACCCUUAUUCCUACCUUUUGUUCAUGGGAAGUAGUAGAAGACUUUUUGAGGUUUGGUAAGAUUGUUGGUGAUGUGCUGAUGGAACGGAUUAGAUAGAAAGUUAAGUGAAACAACCUGAAAAACACUAGGAACAUGAAUUGUGCUGCUUUUCAAAUAUUUCUUUUUAGAAUAAUUGUAUAGGAUUCCAUGUAAAGGUAAAGUAAUAAACAUAUACUUAUGAAACUUGAGUUAUCAGAUUUAUUUUUUAAAAAAAAUUUUCGUCUAUUAAUGUAUUCUUUUGUUGAUAAAAUUUAGAUAGUUAUGAGUUAAAAAAACUAACUACAAUUAGCUCACGGCCAAAAUAACCUUUUUAUCCCUAAUAUGUAUAAUUUGUAUUAUAAUAUUAAGUUCCGUCAUUUUUCUCAUUUUGCUCACACUCUGUAGCCAUGGUGAAGACAAGACUUACAGCGGUCGCUAUGUCGAAGGUGAGACUCCCUCUGUCGCAGAAAAAAAUGAAGUACACCGCACGUGCCGUGGCGAAGGCGAGAAAAGAGAGAGAGAGAAAGAAGAUAAUUUUUUAUAGAGACAAAUUUGUAAGGACAAAAUAAUCAAUUUAUGUACCCACCGUUAAAUACUAACGGUGAAUCAAACGGUAGGGAUAUAUAUGAAUGAAUCAAAAUUUUAGGAAGAAUAUAUUUACAAACCAAAGAAUUUUUGAAGGAAUCAAUCAAAUAACUUAAGUUUCAUAGAGAAAUAUAUAUUUGUUAUUCCAUAUCUUUGCAUAAACCCGUAUGAAAUUAACCUUUUUUUUAUAAGAAUAUAGAAAACUUCUCUGAAUUAUUGGAAUUUGGCUAUCCAACUUUUUAGAAUUUUGAUUUUAUUAUUUAACUUUUUUAAUUUGUUUGAUUAGAGUUGGUCAAUGAUAUUUUGAUUUUAAAAUUUAAUUGCGUCGUUUAUCUUUAUAGAUUUAAUUAGUAUAUUUUAUAUAAUUCUCGCAAUUACAAGUCAUUAAAGUAAGUAAUUAAAUUAAAUUUUAAAGUCAAAGUGUCAUUGCCUAACUCAAAAUAAAUAAAAUAAAAAAUUGGAUAAUAAAAUUAAAAUUUUGAAAGAUUGGAUAGCCAAAUUCAAAAUUCAUACAUACUUAACUUAUCUUUUUUUAAGAAAAAAACUUUCUGUAAAUCUAAAAUUCGAGUGUAAUUAUUACAUUCUAUCCACCCAAGAGUUGAAAUAAUCCUUCUAAAUUUUAAGUUAAAAAAUUUAAAAUUGUGAUAAAAUUAGUGUGAUAAAAUUGAUUCUGAGAUGGAUAAGAUAUAAAAUUUAUACAUAUUUUCUGGUACGCUGGUAGCAUUGUUUUAUUUUUAAUGAGUACUCAUUCAUAAACACCAAAAAAUAUUUUUAAAUAAAUAUUGAUAAUGGAUCAAUUUAGAAUAUGUAAUAGUUGGUUACACAAAAACUAAAAUGCACAUUGUAUGAUAUAUGUGGCUCUAUUCAUCAAAAAGAUGGAUCUCUAUGAUUGAGCAAGUGGUGCAGAUGGACCUAGCUUCUUGACAGACUAUCAGAGCUGUGCAGAAGUUUUUUUUACACGCUAAAAUUGUCCAAAUUUACACCCCAAUAAUAAUAGAUUAGUCAUGUAGUUUAGUCUUUUAAGAUUAAUAUUUUAUCAUUGUUAUAUUAAAAAUUAAAAGAUAAACUUCUGAUACCUUUCUCGUAAUUUAUCUUUUUUACUCUUCAAUAUUAUGUGGUUUUAAACGUAUCACUUAAGUACCAUAUUUUUUUUAAAAAAAAUUUCGUUAACACGGCACUAUCUCCUCCACUAAAACCGUUAUGAGUUUGCGCACGUGCAUUGGAGAUAUCCCACAAAAAUUGAUAAAAAAGACAUAAAAAAUCGAUAAAAAAAGGUAUGAGGCCCCUUAAAGCUUAAUUCUAAUUAUUUUUUGAGAAUUCCUGACUAAGAAGCAACGGUGUGCAGCACAUGACAGUUUUAACGGAGAAGAUAAUAAAACUACUAAUAAAAUUAAGUAAUAUAGUUAAAACUAUAAGGUACUAAAAUAAAAAAAUAAUAAACUACGGAGGGUAUCUAAAUUUUUUCCAAAAUUAAAUCAACAACUAAUUACAACAGAUAUAAAACCUCUAAGUUGAUCUUGUUCAAAUGCAUGAACAUCUUAUUCAGUAAUAUUCAUCAAUUUGAUUAAAAGUAUAUAGUAUUUAAUAAAUAACAAGCGUAAUCAAAUGUUUAGAAUGAUAUCAUAUUUCUGCCUCCAAAUUAUUUUUUAGAAUAGGAUAAAGCAUCUUGUAAGUAAAACAUAGAUAAAAUAUAGGAAAAAUUUAAAAAAACCCCCCGUGGUUUCGUAGUUUCUCAUUUUGCCCCCUUGUGGUUUAAAAUGUAUCAAUUAGCCCCCCUAUGGUUUCUUUUUUCUCUUUUUCUUAUCAUUUUUAUUAUCUUUUUUUUCUUAAAUCAGUGAUAAAGUUAAAAUUAAAGGGUACUAAAGUGCAUAUUUGAUAAAUCUAGAUGUGUAUCUAAAGUUUUUUGUAGAUAAUUUAAUGAAACAUUAACAAAAAAGCUAUCAAAAAGAUAAAAACGAAACCACAAGAAGGCAAAUUGAUACAUUUUAAAUCACAAGAGGGUAAAGUGAGAAACUACGAAACCACAGGGGGGUUUUUUGAAGUUUUUCCUAAAAUAUAUAGAACUUACGUGAACUAUGGGUUAUUUUACUUUAGCUAUCCAAACUUUCAAAAUUUUAAUUUUACUAUAAAAUUUUUCAAUCUGUUUGAUUUACGUCAGUGGAUGACAUUUCAAAAUUUAAAUGUGUCAUUUAUCUUUACAAUUUUAGUUAGUAUAUUUCAUGCAUUUUUCAUAACUAUAAAUUUGUUAAACUAAUUAAUUAACUUUUAAAGUUUGAAGUGAGAGUGUCGUUAAUUAACUCGUAUGAAAUAAAUUGAAUGACUGGAUACUUAAAUCAAAAUUUCAAAAGGUUUAUUAGUGAUCAAAUUAAAAUAAUCUAUAGUUCAGAUAAAUUUUAUAUAUUUUUAUCUAAAUAUAUAUUGUAUUACUAAAUUAUAGGUGCCAAAAUAUUUUAAAAAAUAAAAUAUAAACUUCUAACUUUGAAUUACAUAAAAAAAAAAAGUAUGUAUGUAUGUAUUAAAUAAAGGGAAAACUUCAAAAACCUCCCAUGUGGUUUCGUAGUUUCUCACUUUGCCCCCCUGUGGUUUAAAGUGUAUCAAUUUGCCCCAAUGUGGUUUCGUUUUUAUCUUUUCGAUAGUUUUUUCGUUAAUAUUUUAUUAAAUUAUAUAUAAAAAACUUCAUAUACUCAUCUAGAUUUAUCAAAUAUUCACUUUAAUACCCUUUAAUUUUAACUUUAUCAUUAAUUUAAAAAACAAAAAUAAUGAAAUUGAUAAAAAAAAAAGAGAAAAAAAAAUCACAAGGAGAUAAAUUGAUACAUUUUAAACCACAGGAGGGCAAAGUCAAAAACUACGAAACUAUUGGGAGGAUUUUUGAAGCUUU